rnacentral:rRNA from 1 species
UUAAAUUGAAGAGUUUGAUCAUGGCUCAGAUUGAACGCUGGCGGCAGGCCUAACACAUGCAAGUCGAACGGUAACAGGAAGCAGCUUGCUGCUUUGCUGACGAGUGGCGGACGGGUGAGUAAUGUCUGGGAAACUGCCUGAUGGAGGGGGAUAACUACUGGAAACGGUGGCUAAUACCGCAUAAUGUCGCAAGACCAAAGAGGGGGACCUUCGGGCCUCUUGCCAUCAGAUGUGCCCAGAUGGGAUUAGCUUGUUGGUGAGGUAACGGCUCACCAAGGCGACGAUCCCUAGCUGGUCUGAGAGGAUGACCAGCCACACUGGAACUGAGACACGGUCCAGACUCCUACGGGAGGCAGCAGUGGGGAAUAUUGCACAAUGGGCGCAAGCCUGAUGCAGCCAUGCCGCGUGUAUGAAGAAGGCCUUCGGGUUGUAAAGUACUUUCAGCGGGGAGGAAGGUGUUGUGGUUAAUAGCCGCAGCAAUUGACGUUACCCGCAGAAGAAGCACCGGCUAACUCCGUGCCAGCAGCCGCGGUAAUACGGAGGGUGCAAGCGUUAAUCGGAAUUACUGGGCGUAAAGCGCACGCAGGCGGUCUGUCAAGUCGGAUGUGAAAUCCCCGGGCUCAACCUGGGAACUGCAUUCGAAACUGGCAGGCUUGAGUCUUGUAGAGGGGGGUAGAAUUCCAGGUGUAGCGGUGAAAUGCGUAGAGAUCUGGAGGAAUACCGGUG